UACGUAGGGUGCGAGCGUUGUCCGGAAUUACUGGGCGUAAAGAGCUCGUAGGUGGUUUGUCGCGUUGUCCGUGAAAACUCACAACUCAAUUGUGGGCGUGCGGGCGAUACGGGCAGACUGGAGUACUGCAGGGGAGACUGGAAUUCCUGGUGUAGCGGUGGAAUGCGCAGAUAUCAGGAGGAACACCGGUGGCGAAGGCGGUCUCUGGGCCGAUGACUGACGCUGAGGAGCGAAGCGUGGGGAGCAAACAGG
rnacentral:rRNA from 1 species